CACGUUUUCGCAAUUGAUUUAAUACAUAUGAUUGCACAUACAUAUGCAUGUGUAAUUGAAAACUCUUGCUAAAUUAUGUAGCGAUGGUAUCAUGAGUGUAUAGGCUGCAAACAUGAGACAACACAACACAGUACAAAAAGACAUGGAUAAAAAAAACAAAAACUGCUGAUUCCAGAAAACUUGAAUAGCCUGUUUCAGUUUUGCUGUGUAUCUAUGUUGCCGGACAGUUAGACUAACUGUGAGAUAUCUUACACAUUGGGGAUUCCUGCAGCAAGCAGUUCUGAAGGCCCCUGAAAGCCUGCUUCAAUCUCCAGCUGAUUUCAGAGCAAGAGAGUAAGUCAAGGCAGCCUCGCAGACAGAAUCUCUAAGAAGCAAAUCUGAACAUUCUCAGUUGUCUUGAAAAAAAAAAAAUAGAAAUAAAGUAACAGAUGACGACCGAAGAGAGAGAGAGAGAGACAAAGACAAAGGGAAAAGAGAGAGUCUCUUUACUGAGAGGCACAGAGAAGCAAAGUCAACAUCAUCAGUUGACUGAGCGAAAGAGGGAGAGAGGAAGAGCGAAAUAGAGAGGCAGCACAUGGAUAAAUUAAAUCUGCUAAAGGCAGAAAGGGAAAAGCCUCACAGCAAAGACCUCCUGGAAGAAAAGCAAGACAGGGAGGAGCAGAACAUCUUUGUGAGGAUAAAAGAAGAAGUGUAAUCGCCCAGUUGUUUCUUUUUCUCCCAGAGGCCCCUUAGAAAACAACUGGCGCUUUAAGCUUGGACAGAUAGCAGACAGAGGGACGACGGUUAGAGAGGAGGAGAAUACCGCAGAGGAGCUGUGAUGAUGGAGAUGGAGAUGGAGAGCAGUGUGUAUUGACAGUGACUGUGACACAAAGCUGCAUCCAGCACGAGAACCUCAGAGGAAAAAGGCUCUGCUUCAAAAACAAGACCUCCAAUCUGCUGCUUCAACACCCUUGUAAAAAUGUUGUGAAAUGAGCACAAACUCUGAGAUACAGUUUCCAUGCUGUGGAUGGAAAUAAGGGUGACGGAUGAGCGAUGAGUGUUGGGAUAACAAGGGAUCAGAGGCGAGAGGAGGAAUAAUGAGGAUCUGCCCUGACUAUCCACCUCAUCCUUCCACUCAUCUACACGGCCAACAGCACUGCUAAUAUUGCUACAACUUCCUCUACUACCACAAUGAAUACAAAUGUCUCACGUUUUCAAUGGACCCCUUAGGAAAUUCUUGUUUUUCUCUUGACCCUUUCCAGUAGGCCACGGCGCAAUCAGCAACAGAGCUGCACCCUGCUGCUCAAAGGAAAUCAGCGUCUUGUCGUUGAACACCUCAGCAGUGUGAAUGCAAGCCUGGGACUUACAGCUGAAAGGCGAUCCACUUCUCAUUAUACUUUUACAAGCAGUGAUUGCAGCCCCCCAUUGAUGCUACAUGGAUAUUGAAUGGAAGAGCCUGCUCUUUAAUUGAAGUGGCUGACUCUAAAGCCCCCUAAAGACACUGGAAGAGGCUUUAGUGAACAAACCAAAAAUAUACUUUAUGUCACACCCUGGACUACACCUGUACAUCACUGCAGCAAGGAUUAACAGGCUGGAGAUGAGGAGAGGGGGAUUAAGGAUUGUUUGCCGAACACAGUGUCUCACCAUUUCAAGAUCAGUGAUCGAGGAGAGAUGGAGAGAGCGACUGCACAUCUGCAUGGAAGGAUCAGCUGGCUCAUCAGAAUCACAAUUACACACAAAAAAAUGAGCCUUACAGAGGCAUAUAGAACUUUAACCUUUUUCACAAACAAAAUGCCGCUGUUAAUGCAAUCACCAAGGCCUUCUGAACUAUAAAUAUUUACAGGGUAAGAAAUAUUGCCCACGGAGAGCUGACAAAAGACAAUCUUUUAGCUGGACUUCUAGUGGCUGUAUGUCAAAGUCUGCUCCCUCAUUAGGAAGGAUUUCACAAAGAAAAUGCUAAUUGGCCUUACUUCCUAAAUAAAGGCUUAUUUCUCUCAGUGUAUCACUGUGGCCUGUAGCAAGACUUGCUUAAUGAGAUGGGUUGUCUAAUGAAGGAUACCACAGUCUUGGCUCGGGUGUUGAGUUCACCUUGGAAUGUAAUGUUGCUUCAAGGGGCUCCCCUCUAUCUCUCUCAUUAUCCUUCCUCUUUCCAUCUCUGCCUUUACACCACCUCUUUAGUGCACAGAGAGUAUGUGCCUGCCAGGUCAACAGGCAGGACAGGAUUGGAUUUUGGACUUUUGUUGUGCAACUUUUAAGUUACUUUGACAGCUCUGUGAUCAUCACAUUUGCCUUUUUGUGUUAUCAUUAAGAGUCUGGAUUGUUCGGAUUUUAGCUUUAGAAGAAGCAUGUUCGAGUUCACAAAUCACAAAAACACUGUCCAAGAUCAAAAGAACAUCCUGUCAGAAUUUUUUUUAUUCUUGAAUUAAUUGGGCAGUCUACAGUGGCCAGUGUGAGUGACAGUAAAGAUGGGAGUUUGACAGAGAGCGGAUGACAUCCCACAAUGACUGUCAAUCAAGUUCCAAGACAUUGCAAGUACAUAUCAAGUGCCACAGCCCACUGAGCCAUCAACUUUUCCAAACGGCUGCCAGACAGAGGCAGAAAGGACACUGUGCUAUCUUGUGGUCACUCCUCCAAACCUCUGAUCAUAUCCAAUCCAAUGUUUAGUGCUUUCAAAUGCAGCCUCCAGUGGCUGCCUGAACUGACUACUGUUGCUGUUUGUCAAAUAGCAUCUAUAUGUUUUUAUGACAUUUUCUAUGUCAACAUGGUGGCAGAUUAUACUUUGUGUCUAGUUUCAUUUGUUGCUCACAAGCCGAGGUCUCAAUAACUUAUUCCCUCAACCAGUGUUUUUUAUGAUAUAAUGUAAGACUGAAAAAAAAUCUGUGUUAAAAAAAUGCAAGGGGCUGUGCUGGUGGUGGUGGCGUGUUGAUUCA